GACGAACGCUGGCGGCGUGCCUAAUACAUGCAAGUCGAACGAGAGCGCCCGGUGCUUGCACUGGUCAAUCUAGUGGCGAACGGGUGAGUAACACGUGGGUAACCUGCCCAUCAGAGGGGGAUAACAUCCGGAAACGGAUGCUAAAACCGCAUAGGUCUUCGAGCCGCAUGGCUUGAAGAGGAAAAGAGGCGCAAGCUUCUGCUGAUGGAUGGACCCGCGGUGCAUUAGCUAGUUGGUGAGGUAACGGCUCACCAAGGCCGUGAUGCAUAGCCGACCUGAGAGGGUGAUCGGCCACAUUGGGACUGAGACACGGCCCAAACUCCUACGGGGGGCAGCAGUAGGGAAUCUUCCGCAAUGGACGCAAGUCUGACGGAGCAACGCCGCGUGAGUGAAGAAGGUUUUCGGAUCGUAAAACUCUGUUGUUAGAGAAGAACAAGUGCUAGAGUAACUGUUAGCGCCUUGACGGUAUCUAACCAGAAAGCCACGGCUAACUACGUG
rnacentral:rRNA from 1 species